rnacentral:lncRNA from 1 species
AUUGACAUUAAUAACUUUAAUAAAAUAAAGUUUCCUUCAUGGUAGUAAAAUUAGGACCUAUUUCAGCAUAUGUGUUUUUGUCUCACUUUUCUUCAUGUUACUUUCAGGAAACAAAUCACUGGGAGAAUAUUGGCAGGCACCUACAGUAAAGGAAUGGUGAACUUCACUAAUGGCCAAAAUAAGUUCAAUUUACAGUAUCCAAAUUUAGUAGAAGACAAAUACUUUUCAACAUGAGUGACUUGUGAGAGCUUGAGUGGUCAAACUGAUGAUGUCCUUGUCAAUUUUUAAGCCUUUUUUUAGUUGGUUUAGGUCAGUUUGAAACGUUUUCAAACAGGAAAAUGGUUAUGCACUUAGGAAUUUAAACAACUGGACAAAUUUGUGUUUGUCUUAUUCCUAUAUCAAAGUCACUGUGUAAUGAAACAGUACUGCUUUUGGAGCCAAGAUACAUGUGACUUUGAGUAUCGA